UACGGGGGGGGCAAGCGUUGUUCGGAAUUACUGGGCGUAAAGGGCUCGUAGGUGGCCAACUAAGUCGGACGUGAAAUCCCUCAGCUUAACUGGGGAGCUGCGUCCGAUACUGGAUGGCUCGAGUUUGGGAGAGGGAUGCGGAAUUCCAGGUGUAGCGGUGAAAUGCGUAGAUAUCUGGAGGAACACCGGUGGCGAAGGCGGCAUCCUGGACCAACACUGACACUGAGGAGUGAAAGCCAGGGGAGCAAACGGG
rnacentral:rRNA from 1 species